AUCGGUUCAUUUGUCCUUGUGUUCGGCUGUAUUCGUUGCCUGAUAUCAUCGUCCUUUAAUAACUGUCUUGCGCGAUUGUAUCAACUUCGUAACUGCUUUUGUUAUACUUACCGUACGGAUCAGUUUUAAUAUUAAUACGUUAAAUUACAUUACGUUUAUCUUAAUUACAAUAAAAAAAAAUAAUUACUGUAAAAAUGUGAGUGAUUGAACACUUAAUCCUAAAGGAUAUUUCCAAAGUAAAAGAUUCUUAUAUCUUCAUCAGUACAAAGGAGGUAAUAUUGGACAACUUUACAAAAGCUAAGUCAUGGAACAAAACAUUGCUUUCCCAUUAAUUCCAUAGCGCAUCCAGGUAUUCAAAUGCAUGUCUCGAAUUUCACAGACGUUCUACGUUAGGAUCCAUCAGGAAUGAAGAUAUUUGUACCAAUACAUGAUGUCAUCUUAUCAAGGAAGAGGGAAUAGUCUAACUACGUGGAAUGAUUGGAUGAUGACUAUACUGCGAUGAAUUUUG